UAUAAAAUUGUUAUCUGGGAAAAAUAAAGACAAAAAAAAUUAUUCCCACAUCUUGCAUCAAGAAUUUUAAACCAGAGUCACACAAGAAAAUUUUAAAGUAUCAAGUGGAAGAAACAGUAGGCGAAGAACCGUAUGUAGCAACGAUUUUGUUACUAUCAGAUUCAAAUGAAGAACUUAAAGAAAUAAUUAGAACAAAAAGUGUUCGUGCUUCACCAUCGUAUUUGCUUGUGACAGCUUCGGAUAAAUCUGACAACGAGGGAAAAAAACAGUUAAAGCGUUCAAAAACUUUUCAAAUGAAUCGUCAGUUAAAAGAACAAGAGGAACUAGUCUGUAAUAAAUUAUCAAAGUUUAAGAGUGAUUUAUUGCCAAUAAACGUUACAUUAAAAGAUAAGGAAAAUUUAGAUUUGUCAAACAUUACUGAUACACCGCCAUCACCCAAAAAAUAUAGAGUAACAGAGAUUUAGCACAAACAAAAAUAAAUUCAUGCAAGAUGACAAUCUAGUCAAAGCACUAACCAAAGAAACAAACACGAGAAACGAAAAGGAGAAGUGUGGUAAUGAGUCCCCAAAAAAACAGUUAAAGCAUUCAAAAACUUUUCAGAUGAAUUGUCAAUUAAAAGAACAAGAGGAACUAGUCUGUAAUAAAUUAUCAAACUUUAAGAGUGAUUUAUUGCCAAUGAACGCAGUUACAUUAAAAGAUAAGGAAAAUUUAGAUUUGUCAAACAUUACUGAUACACCGCCAUCACCCAAAAAAAUAGAGUAACAGAAGAUUUAGCACAAACAAAAAAUAAUUCAUGCAAGAUGACAAUCUAGUCAAAGCACUAACCGAAGAAACAAACACGAGAAACGAAAAGGAGAAGUGUGAUAAUGAGUCCCAAAAGCUGAGCAGAUCUAAAGUUAUUCCAAAGCUAAGUUAGAGCAACUUUCAAACUCAAGAGAACGGUUAGAUUACUCUCAGAAUUAUCCAGCAAUUGGAAUUUUGCGUACUUCAGACGAUUUCCGAAGGGUACACAUUGGUAGAAACCAGUGGGUCACUGAAAAA